rnacentral:rRNA from 1 species
AGUGAACGCUGGCGGUAGGCCUAACACAUGCAAGUCGAACGGCAGCACAGUAAGAGCUUGCUCUUACGGGUGGCGAGUGGCGGACGGGUGAGGAAUACAUCGGAAUCUACUUUUUCGUGGGGGAUAACGUAGGGAAACUUACGCUAAUACCGCAUACGACCUACGGGUGAAAGCAGGGGAUCUUCGGACCUUGCGCGAUUGAAUGAGCCGAUGUCGGGUUAGCUAGUUGGCGGGGUAAAGGCCCACCAAGGCGACGAUCCGUAGCUGGUCUGAGAGGAUGAUCAGCCACACUGGAACUGAGACACGGUCCAGACUCCUACGGGAGGCAGCAGUGGGGAAUAUUGGACAAUGGGCGCAAGCCUGAUCCAACCAUACCGCGUGGGUGAAGAAGGCCUUCGGGUUGUAAAGCCCUUUUGUUGGGAAAGAAAAGCAGCAGGUUAAUACCCCGCUGUUCUGACGGUACCCAAAGAAUAAGCACCGGCUAACUUCGUG